rnacentral:rRNA from 1 species
UGAGUAACACGUAUGCAACUUGCCUGCCACAGCCGGAUAAUCGGGAGAAAUUCCGUCUAAUACGGCAUAAUGCAUCGACGGGACAUCCUGUUGGUGCCAAAGGUUGAUUCCGGUGGCGGAUGGGCAUGCGUCGCAUUAGUUAGUUGGCGGUGUAACGGACCACCAAGACGACGAUGCGUAGGGGUUCUGAGAGGAAGGUCCCCCACACUGGAACUGAGACACGGUCCAAACUCCUACGGGAGGCAGCAG